GUUCGUGACAUCCAUGAGCCUCCUGAGGACUACAGACAAGAAGUCAAUAUUGUGGAAUUUUGGGAUUCUGUUUGCCUUGAGAUGAUUUCCCAAGCGUUUCCCACAGCACAAGAGAAAACCCACUUGCAGUCCACCCUUGUUUUGAAUUCUGGGCCCCCAUACCAGAAAGUCUAGCAUUGUGUUAAACACUGAAUGCGAAAAGUUGCACCGUCCAAAACCUGCAGAAUAUGCUGAUGUUGUAACAGAAGACAGACUUUUAAAUGAAGUCAUGAAGUUAAAGGUGGUUGGGCAGUGAUGAUGUGCCCAUGUGGCAUCAUCUACAGUGUGAAGUUUUGUCUGCGAGCAGAAAGCCCAAGAGACUCUAUGGACCUGCUUUUAUCUUGGCAAUACAUGCCCAGUAUCGUAGUUUAUGAUUUUGCUAGAGGUUUAGCAACACAUGGUAAUCUCCGGGAACCAGAGAAAUUGCCCUUCAGUCCUCAUGAGGGAAGACUCAUGGAGCCCUCAGAAAACAACAUAAAACUGGAAAAGGAGAAGAAACUGUCUAUCCGUCUCCCUUGGCUUCAGGAAAGAAAGAAGAAUCCAGAAGUGGACGGUCAUCCGGUCACCGGAUCUGCUGAGCAUUAUGUCCUAUAUGACACUCUGCAUGAAGCCAACACAAAAGAUGACCGGGGUAUGCUCUGCAGAAUCAACCUGGUACCACGGCUUGUUGACCACUUGAAUAGUUAAGUCGCAGAACAAUUCUUUUCCAAAAUGGCACGGGACAAUUAUUUUUUAAACCUGAUGUCCCCGACAACCCAGGUUUGUGGCAUACGUUCCAUUAUACACCAUGAAAAUGAACAGAAGAAUAAAGGCCUCACUGACAUGGUCCAAAAAGGACUGGGGCAAAAGAAGCUUUCUUUGUCUGCAC